rnacentral:snoRNA from 1 species
GUUGGUUGAAAAUCACCCUCAGCUUUGGCCAUGGUCGUGGGUAAGAUUCAGCGCCUAGAGCCACUGGGGCCUCAGCUCACCGCCCAUUGCCUUGUGUGCAAGGGUGAAACCCAGGCCCCGGCAGUC